rnacentral:lncRNA from 1 species
GGGAGAUCAAAAUGAAAAAAAAAAGUAAAUAAUAUUAAACAAUGAACAACUAUUGUUUUUAUCCUGCAGUCUAAUAUUAUAGAUUUUUUUCUCUCAACGUUUGUCUUAAUUUUAUAGAAAUCAACAUGGUUAAAACAGAUCCUGUGUCCAUGCUUUACUCUCACGGAUUUGAUGGGACUGUGUCCUACUUUCUGUUCUAGAAAUGAUCAUAUCAGCCAAUCAAAUCUCUGCUUUCAAAUUUUGAAGUGGUGUUUUAUUUCGAAAAAAAACAAAGGAUCCCAAAAUGUCUCUAAACAGAAAGUAGAAUGGAGUGUUGUCAGAAUCUUGCAAGCUAAGCUAGAACAUAAGAUCUGUAUGUCAAUAUGAUUAAAAAAGAAGAGAACUAAAAAAAUACAGUUAUUGGCCGUUAUUUUAACAUAACUAUGAUGAGUUAGAAUUUAAUUUUAUACCUGUUGAUUGUACAAUACCUGGUUAAUUGCAGGAUGAAUAAAUUACCUGCAUCUUUUAAAAUUAGCUCAGCAAGAAUAAGUAAAUCUGCUGUAAUCUAUGUUAUUGUUGACAUUUAAUGUGUUCUGUUUUUAAUAUGAGAUUGUACUUAAAUGUGAUAUGUUGUGAUUCAUAACU